ensembl:snRNA U4 U4 spliceosomal RNA
AGCUUUGCGCAGUGGCAGUAUCGUAGCCAGUGAGGUUUAUCCAAGGCGCGAUUAUUGCUAAUAGUUUCCUAGUGUUAGUGAACACUGCACCACAAAUUGGGUGGCUUAGAACCAUAGAAAUUUAUUGUCUCACUACCCUGGAGGA